GAUGAAGAACGUAGCGAAAUGCGAUAAGUAAUGUGAAUUGCAGAAUUCAGUGAACCAUCGAAUCUUUGAACGCACAUUGCGCCCGGCAGUAAUCUGCCGGGCAUGCCUGUCCGAGCGUCAUUUCUCCCCUCGAGCGCAGCUUUCCCCCCCGGGGGAGGGCCGCGCCCGGUGUUGGGGCGCUACGGAGGAGCCCAGCGCUCCCCCGUAGGCCCCGAAAUGUAGUGGCGGUCCCGCCGCGGCGCCCCCUGCGUAGUAGUUUUACAACUCGCAUCGGGUCCCGGCGGAGGCCAGCCGUCAAACCCCCCAACUUCAAUAGUUUGACCUCGGAUCAGGUAGGGUUACCCGCUGAACUUAAGCAUAUCAAUAACGGAGGA
rnacentral:misc_RNA from 1 species